AUGACCUUCCAAGUUUUAAAAGAAGUGGAUGAUAUUAUUUGCGUUUUUUAACCUAACAAUUCUUCUUAGGGAAAAGAGCAAUCUUUUUUCUGAGGUUUUAAUGGGGAAUGUGGUUCCUGCGCAGAAAAUUGAUCUUGUUACAUUCUAUGAAUGAUUCAGGACGCUAUAUUAGAAAAUUCUGAUUCUU
rnacentral:snoRNA from 1 species